rnacentral:piRNA from 1 species
UCGUAUAAAAUGGUAGCGCACAUCUAUGU